rnacentral:lncRNA from 1 species
GGUGCUAGUGUGUUGGUUUGAAGGGCUGUUCGGGGGGUGUAGUUUGUGGUUGAAGGGCUGUACGUGGGUGCUAGUGUGUUGGUUUGAAGGGCUGUACGGGGUGCUAGUGUGUUGGUUUGAAGGGCUGUACGGGGUGCUAGUGUGUUGGUUUGAAGGGCUGUACAGGGUGCUAGUGUGUUGGUUUGAAGGGCUGUACGGGGUGCUAGUGUGUUGGUUUGAAGGGCUGUACGGGGUGCUAGUGUGUUGGUUUGAAGGGCUGUACAGGGUGCUAGUUGGUUGGUUUGAAGGGCUGUACGGGUGUAGUGUGUUGGUUUGAAGGGCUGUACAGGGUGCUCAGUGUGU